GUGACAGACACAAAGACGGAUUAAACCAGAGAGUGAGCACUUGGCAUUAUCGCAGGAGUAGCAUCUUUGUCCUCACCGCAACACAUCGGCGUAACAGAAUGAGACACACACAUUUUCCCUGCAUCCAAAUCACCAAGCUGGGCAGUCCUGCUACCGAACCACCCUGAA